rnacentral:lncRNA from 1 species
GGACUGUAUUCACAUCAGGCUUGAUUGGGCCAAAAGGUCUGCUUUCAAGUUCCCAAAGUCUGCCUGGGUGACCUCAGGAAGUGACAGCUGCCUUCCUCCAUAGUAAGGAAUGCAGGACACACACACACACACACACACACACACACACACACAAACACACACACACGGGGAGGGGUGGGGAGAGAGAGAGAAGUUAUUCUAUAAAGUAGUUUCAGGAGAGAUCACCAGCAUUUUGUUGUAUCCUGUUGCUGUUACAGACCUACCAUCUAGUUCCAUGUGGAAGAGGACCACACAAGGGUGAAAUUCCAAUGGAAUUUGCCUUGCUAGACUUUGGAAUUCCUGGGCACCUGUGACCCCUGUCUCUUUUCUGGAUUCUCUUUUGGAAUGGAAAUGUCUGUUCUAUGCUCAUGCCAUCAUUUUGUUUUGGAAGCAGAAUUUCCCAGCACAUCUUCCUUGCAGCUGGCUUCAAAAGAGAAAGCUCCUGGGAUUCCAGGUGCUUGGGUCCUCAGGUGUCUCUUCCCAGUUCUGCAAACCUUCCCUGGAGCAGCGAUGGUUUUGAAUCCUCGAUCAUCUCAAUUUCUCUCUUCCAGUUAAUGCAGUGCCAUCAGACAUAUUGCCCUGAAGAUCAAGUCCGGGUCAUUCCAUCAAUUCACUGCGGUUUACGAAGAUAGAGAAAAAAGCCAGGCUGUGUGGGCUAUCAACUUCAAAUGGCUUAGUAAACAUGCUUUGGCUGUUUUAACUGCUUCACUUCUGACUCUGGACCUUUGUGCUUCUGGACAAGACCACCCAAAUCAGCCCCGCUGGAUAUGGUAGAUGCAGCCCUGAAGCCAGGAGGCCUUGGGAGAGGAAGAAGCACAUCUGGAGAGUUCCCAGCCAGAGUGGUUGCAACAGGACUUGGAGGGAGGCUUGUAUCCAGCAUUGACUGAGGAUGCUACCUAAGUUCCAACAGUUUGUCUCACCAGCCAGAGAACUUGGCAGCUGGUGGGGGAAAAGGAAGAAGAGAGGCGUGUUCCUUUAGUAAUAGGUUUUGUAGCAGGGUUGGGAUUCCUAAUCCAAUCCAUCUUCUCUCUACAGGAGCUGCUGGUCAGUGAUAAUGGUUUCAAAAGAUGAAAACUCUGUAAGUCAUUUUUCAUGGGAUGAGGUGUCACCAAGGGCAGGACACACACAGAGAACAGCACACUUAUUGGAAGAGAUGAUCUCUCAGGAAGAGAAUGAACAUUUCUUGCCCCAGGGAGAGAGGGAAGGAGUGGAAGAGGUGGCAUUUGGUUAGAUUGCUGAUGUUUGCACAGAUAAAACACUAGAUGUCUCUUGAGAAUCCAGUGCAGUUAUUACAUUGGGUGCAAAGAAUCUUGAAUUAUUAUUAUAUUCCUUGUACUUAUGCAUGAUGUCAAAAUUUGAAAUCCUAUGCUCCAAAUUCUGGUGAUACAGUAUUUGCAGAAAAGUGACAGUGACUCUAAAUAUUAUUAAAAAGUGUAUUG